rnacentral:lncRNA from 1 species
GCGGCCUGUCAUUAUUACCACAACCUCUCUGACGUGUGUGUGUUUGUGUGUCUUCUUCUUCCCACAGAUUGCGAGCCCGAGGUACUGUUGGAUUGGUCGUUUGAUGUAAAUUGUCUCUUUUGCUGCUUAAGACGAGAGAAAGUCAAGGAACACUUGGUUGGCAUCACUCCCCAGGUCUUAUCAGAGUCAGAGGACUUGAAACAGGACACGUCCAAAAUCAACCGCCUGGAGAAGCAAGCCGAAGAGUUCCUCAAUGCUGUCUUCUACAGAAAGGGUGAGUCUAGAACCUAUAGAACCAUAAGGGAGUCUAGAACAGAGAACCAUAAAGGAGUCUAGAAUGUAGAACCAUGAGAUUUUAGAACCUAGUACCAUAAGGGAGUCUAGAACAUAGAAGCAUAAGGCAGUUUAGAACCUAGAACUAUUAGGGUCAAGGACCUAUAGAACCAUAAGGGAGUCUAGUAGAACUAUAUGGCGUAGUCAGUUGGGACGUUAUAAAGACACAAGGUAUGGAACUUGGAAACACCAAAGUUGUGGGUUUGAUUCCCACAUUUGGGUUCCCGAGUGGCACUGCAUCUCAG